rnacentral:rRNA from 1 species
UACGAAGGGUGCAAGCGUUAGUCGGAAUUACUGGGCGUAAAGCGCGCGUAGGCGGCCCAGUAAGUCCGUUGUAAAAGUCAAAGGCUCAACCUUUGAAAGCCGAUGGAUACUGCUGGGCUAGAGUCCGGAAGAGGCGAGUGGAAUUCCUGGUGUAGCGGUGGAAUGCGCAGAUAUCAGGAGGAACACCGAUAGCGAAGGCAGCUCGCUGGGACGGUACUGACGCUGAGGCGCGAAAGCGUGGGGAGCGAACAGG